UAACACUGAUCCUAAUCCUCUCACUUUAACUGGGUAUAACCACACGAAUCUACUCGGUCUCAAUCUUGUGAUGGAUAAUAUUAAGGAUAUGGUGGAAUGGUUCUUUUAUAUUUGCUCACACUCACAGUGAUGUAUUUUAUGGUGUCAAAGAUUGCAGUUAGUGGUAGUAACAAGCAUUUGAUAAAUGGGAAGCUUGCACAACCUAGUCAAGUCCAGAAUCUUUUCCACUCUGUGCAGCUUAAUAAUGUCAACAAUCCACACUUUCUCAUCAUGCAAGGUAGAAUCACCAAAGUCUUAAACAUGAAACCUCCCGAGAUACUGUGGGUGCUGGAACAAGAAUGUAUGAAAACAAGAAAGAAAGAAUGUUCAACAGUAGAGGAAGAAGAAGAAGAAGAUGAGACAUGGAGGAGCGAGAUAGUAACAAGGGUGAUGAGAAUCGUGAGCAAGAGAUUGAUCUUUUUUACUCUGCUACCUUGAUGGUCUUAAGGUUCGUGUUUCCUUUGGAAGUAGUCUUUAUCAGAUGACAGCAGAGGGCAAAGUAAGUGUUGCUUCUCUUCAAACCGGCGCCUCCUUUAUAUAUUACAUUCACCUCUGCUUUUUCAUUCUCAGAUUGAUUUGUCAAAAGUUGUCGGUAAUGUAUCUUUCGUAAAAAACUGAUCCGUGUUACAAUCAAUGAUUUUGAAUUAUUCAGGUUGAUGCAGCUCUUGAUCCAAGUCACACACACAACAUAGGAAGAAGCUCAUUUCCCUCACUCGCAGGUCAAAAUAUCUAUCUCAAGCUCGGACAGUAACAAAGCCGACCAAGUGAUCGAUCGGCUUCAUACCUCAAUCGAAUCAUAUAUAAUCGAUUAAUAUACAGUAAUUCCAAAAACUAUUCAUCUAUGUGUGGCAUGCUUAAUAUUUUUGACCAUACAUAUAGAAAAAAAAAGAGAAGUAGGAAAAAAGGUCUAAAUAGAAGUAAAAAAGAGUCUAAAAUAACACCAAUAAUCUAUGGCUAAUCCUUAGAUAAUGGUAAUAUGCUUGAACUUGGAUUGGAUUUACUAAGUGCUUCCUCGAUAUCCUCAUGAUAGUCCGGACAGUGGUUGCAUGUGCAUAUGCAGUUCUUGGCUUCCGACGAAGAUCUAUGUUCCUCAAUUAAACCUAGUUUAAAAAUUAGGUAUAGAAGAGCCAAUAGGAUUAAGUAGAAUAUACCGCCGAUCACAAAAAGAGCAACCUCCAGCAAUCCCCACGCCAUUGAAGGAAAUUAUUUAAUGGGAAAAUAAAGAAACGUAAAAUCUUCCAUUAGGCUGUGUAUUAUAUAUAUAUAUAUAUAUAUAUAUAUACUCGAGGAUUCAUUGGGUCAGAGAUUAUUUAGGAUCAGGAUACCUAUGAAUAUUCCACAAGAGUCUUGGAUUAUAUUUAUAUAUAUAAAUUCGUCAUUUAUCUUUAUAAAAUAAAGUAAAAGUUUUUUUUCUCCUAAGGAUAACACAACAAAGAUAUAUACGGUAUUUUCACAUAUGUCACAAGAUAGAUUUUGUAUCCUCUUUCGUGUUUCGAUAUAUCUUCAUAACACAAUACUAAAAAAGAUUUGCAUAUUGAUGGGAUGAACUUAAAGGAUUCUCGGAGAUCGUUAUGCGUAUCGGCUUGGAGAAUCGAAGCAAGGGUGCUCGAAUGAUAUAAGAUUUAUCGAUCAAAGACAAGUCAUACGUUGUGACUAGAUGAUGAAGAAAUAUAGCCAUCCCAAGCCUAGCAAACUCUGCUCCUGCACAUAGUCUUGCACCACCACCAAACGCCAUGAACGUUUUAGAGCCACAAAGCAAUUCCUUCCCCUCCCAUCUCCAUGGAUUAAACUCACAUGGUUGUUCAUAGAUUUGAGGGUCAUAAUGAAGAAGAGAUGGAACAACCAAUACAAUCCAUCCUGCUGGAAUUGUAUACCCUGCAACCACAACACGAUUUUGAAUUAGAUCAUUGGUAACAAACUUAUAGUUAUUUUCAUGACGCAAAAGAGAGACUCAAACUUGCCUUUGAUCUCCACAUCACUCACCACCUUUCUAAACAUAGCAGGUGACAAACUCCCUAAACAAAGAGACUCAUUGAUAACCUGCAAUUGCAACAAUCAACUAAAUGUUUUCAUCACUUAAUCGAUGUGCAACGACAACAAGUUUGGAAUUUCAUUUUUUUAACAAGUAUAUAAUAAGAAAACAAAAAGCUACCAUAUGGGUGAAUUUCAUCAUGGAUCUAUAUUCUUUCCAAGUAACUCCAGAUUCUUUAUCAGCUCUGUUUUGGAGGAUGAUCUAUAGUCAUGUUCGAGUAAGACAUUUAGGACAAUUUACUAAUAUCUAAAGUUUAACUCACAUAAUAGUAAUUAAUAAUUUAGUUUCAAAAAAAAAUUUACAUGAUUUAAGAGUAUUUAGAUAGAAUUGAUAAAUUGAGAUGAGAGUUAGAACAUUAAUACAGAAAAAAUUUGUGGAUUUUUAUUUAAAAUUUAAAUAUCAGGAAAAAAAUUUAAACAAUAAGAUGGAAUAUGUAGAAUUAAAAUUAUUAGCUCUUAUCCGUUAAGAUGGAGUUUAUCGAAGAAUUAAAAUAUUUCUUAUCAUGAAAUAAAUAGUUAAAUUGUAUUAGAUAGAAUUGAUAAAUUGAGAUGAGAGUUAGAACAUUAAUACAGAAAAAAUUUGUGGAUUUUUAUUUAAAAUUUAAAUAUCAGGAAAAAAAUUUAAAAAUAAGAUGGAAUAUGUAGAAUUAAAAUUAUUAGCUCUUAUCCGUUAAGAUGGAGUUUAUCGAAGAAUUAAAAUAUUUCUUAUCAUGAAAUAAAUAGUUAAAUUGUAUUGCAAAAUAGAAUGUGUCAGAUUGAAAUUUGGUUAAAAAAUUAGAUUAAGUAUAAAUAAAUGUAUAAUACUAUUUGUAUUUCAAAUAUUAUCAAAAAAUUAUAUUUAUUUUUUCACAUCCGCCUAUUUAGGCGGGUCUUAUCUAGUUCAAUAUACAUGGAACUGGCAGGAAUAGGUUGCCACAAGUUUGGCGAGAAUUGAGUUGGAGGCUCAUAAGAGUAAAUGGAAGCAAAUUUUGUACAAAUUUAUGGUAGUUUGUUUUAUAAAACACCAUAUUUUAUACAAAUAUUGUCCUUUUGAAUAAUAUUUAGAAUUGGAAGUUAGCUCUUAAUGAAAGCUUGUUUAUGGGAGCUUGUUUGAUAGAUGAUUCGGGAUCACAUAUGGCAAUCUUAUGUGGCUUUAGCCUUUAGGUCCCCAAAGUGGUUACAUAAUUUUUUGAAUCAAUUAUGAAUUUGCCAUUUUUUGAAUAAUCUUUGUUGAGUGUGCCAUUUUUUUGAAUAGUUUGUGGAUUUGCCAUUUUUCAAGCAACAAAAAAAUGAUUUAACAGUUAACAUUAGUAUUACUCUUUAUGUUUGGGUUUAGUCUAUUCUAUUUGUUUUUAGGGUUUAGUAUUUGGUAUAAAGUAUGUAUUUUGCACAAAAAAAGUAGUAAAUACAUAUAUUUGGUAUUUGGUAUAAAGUAUAGCAUUUUCGUAAGAUUUUCUAAAAAAAAAUGUAUUUUUUCUACAAGAAUCCCUAAUUUCUUUUUUUUUUUGGGUUUAUUUGAUCUCUCUUUCAGUGAAUUGGAAGUACACCAUCUUGGACUCGCUUAUUGCAUUAGUAUCUUUCUCUGCCGGCGGAUUGAUUCCGAUGCUCUGUGGCAUGCUUGUGAAACUUCGAAUUCUAAGGAUUGUGUUUCUGGUGAUUUCCUGUGAUUUUGUAAAAAUAACUACAAAACUAAAAAAAAAUUAUUUAUGAGUUAUAAUUUUUUUUGGUUAUUACAAAAAUCACCUUUUUAUUUAUGGGAAUUUGUGUGAAUAAUCCGAAAAAUAACUAAAAAUCUAACCAAUUAACCUAAAUCUAAUGGUCAUGAUUAUGCCACAUAUGCUAAUAUCAGUUAGUUGCUUAAUUAUUAUUACUAGAUUUACUCGUCCGCGCGUUGCGUGGGAUAUCAACUUUAAACUGGCAACAAUACAAAAUGUUAAAAAUAAUUAUAAUCAUUUGAAUUUCAAAACUAUACAUAUUCAUACUUGUUUUACAAAACAGUACACAACAUAAAAAUUAUCAAAAAUAUUUAGUAUAUACCACGUAAUAACAAAAGUAAUAUCAGAUGAAUUGGUCUCGGUAGUCAUCCAUGAACUUUUGUCAAAAAGAGAGUUUAUUCCAUAAUCAAAUCUUGUAAGUAUAUCUAUCUCGAAAUUUUAACAUAAUCAUACCCCAUAAUAAAAGUAAAUUUGCUGAGUUUGAAUAUCAAUUUUAUGAAAAUGUAUAAACGUAAUAUUCAUGCUGCUUCAAUAGAUUUGGAGAGCACAAUUUACCUAUUGAAGCAAGACAAUCAUGCAUUAAGAAAUUUUUUGAUAAAAUCAUGAAUGUCCUUAUCUUAUCUUAUCUAUCCUACAACACUUUAUUACAUGGUUCAAUGAUUUAACUCAAUGUUGAAUAUGAUAGUCUGGUUUACUAAAUCAAACUAUCCGAUAGUGCAUCAAUAUAUCCGAUGAAUUUACUUAAGUCAUGUGCAUACAUAUAUCCGAUGCUUCAAGCAUUAGUCAAUUCCUCUUCAAACAUUUUUUUCUAUCAUUUUUUCGUCAUCUUCUAUGAUGCACUUGUUUGCCUCCCAACAUCUACUCUUCUUUUAUCUUAUAUGCUCAUUUACAUAUAAUAAAACUUUGAAUUCAUUCUUAACUUAAAACUAUUUUCUCAUUUUCUUCUUCUUUUAAUUAUAUAAUUUUCAUGUUUGAGUGUAAUAUACUUUUACGGAAGAUAUAUAUUUAUGAAAAUUGUCUCAACACUUAUUUAAAUUUUUACCUAUAUUUAAAUAUUUUCACUUUUUUUUAUCUAGAAAGAAAACAAUAAUAUAAAUAUAACUAUAUUAUUUUAGUUGUUAUAUAUUUACUAUAAUUUAAUAUUAAGAUACAAUCAAUCUUUCUAUUUUUUCGUCAAUGUGAAUUUAUACUUUUACUUUCUUGAAAUAUAAUUUCCAAUUUUAAAAAUGAAUUAUUUCUUAUAUCUUAAGAAAACUUAUACAAUCAUAAGUUUACUAUAACAUUUAACCAUUUAUUUUUAAUCUAAAAAUAUACUAUUUUAAAUAGAUUUCUUCCACUUCAUUAUCAUCUCUUCAAGUUAAUGUUUCCAACAAAUAUGAAUAUCUUCUUAUUAUUAAAAAAAAACUCUUAUAGUCUUCCAUUUCAAUUCAAUUCAAUUCUUUUGUUCAUCCUAAAUUAUAUUUGAGGUCUCCUUAUUAAUCUCAAAAAAUGAUAGUUUUUAAACGUUUUUUAUUUUUUUAUUUUUAAUAAGUUAUUAUUUUUUGUAAUUGUAUAAUAAAUUUCAUUAAGAAUCAUUUUGCCCUCUUAAAUAACAUUGGUAUUUCUAUGAAAUUUGCAUUAUUAUUUUCUAAUUUCUUAAUUAUAUAUUUAGGGAUUAUGUUCAUUUUAAGUUAUAUAUUAGCAAAAUUUUAAUUUUAAGUGUUUUAUAUGUAUAUAUGUUACACUUGUGUUAUUAUUAUUCAAGUAACCUUUAUUUAAAAUUAUGCAUUAAUUGAAAAUUACUUGUAUAGUAAAUUUCAUUAAGAAUCAUUUUGCCCAUAUUAAAUAACAUUGGUAUUUCUAUGACUUUUCAUUAUUAUUUUUUAUUUUUUAAUUAUAUAUUUAGGGAUUAUGUUCAUUUUAAGUUAUAUAUUAGCAAAAAUUUAAUUUUAAGUGUUUUAUAUGUAUAUAUGUUACACUUGUGUUAUUAUUAUUCAAAUAACAAAUAACCUUUAUUUUAAAUUAUGCAUUAAUUGAAAAUUACUUCUUAGAUAAUUAGAUGUAAUUAACUAUAAAAUUAAAUAUUUUAAAAUAAUUAUUGGUGGGAUCCAUCAUAUUAAUUUGGUGAUGAUGUGGACACCCUAAGAGGAGAGAGAACUCUCAUAUUAUAUAUAUAGAUUGUAUAAUAAAUUUCAUUAAGAAUCAUUUUGCCCUCUUAAAUAACAUUGGUAUUUCUAUGAAAUUUGCAUUAUUAUUUUCUAAUUUCUUAAUUAUAUAUUUAGGGAUUAUGUUCAUUUUAAGUUAUAUAUUAGCAAAAAUUUAAUUUUAAGUGUUUUAUAUGUAUAUAUGUUACACUUGUGUUAUUAUUAUUCAAGUAACCUUUAUUUAAAAUUAUGCAUUAAUUGAAAAUUACUUGUAUAGUAAAUUUCAUUAAGAAUCAUUUUGCCCAUAUUAAAUAACAUUGGUAUUUCUAUGACUUUUCAUUAUUAUUUUUUAUUUGUUAAUUAUAUAUUUAGGGAUUAUGUUCAUUUUAAGUUAUAUAUUAGCAAAAAUUUAAUUUUAAGUGUUUUAUAUGUAUAUAUGUUACACUUGUGUUAUUAUUAUUCAAAUAACAAAUAACCUUUAUUUAAAAUUAUGCAUUAAUUGAAAAUUACUUCUUAGAUAAUUAGAUGUAAUUAACUAUAAAAUUAAAUAUUUUAAAAUAAUUAUUGGUGGGAUCCAUCAUAUUAAUUUGGUGAUGAUGUGGACACCCUAAGAGGAGAGAGAACUCUCCUAUUAUAUAUAUAAAUUUUCUUGGGUUAUUAUAAAAUAACCCUUUAUAUAUUACAUAAUAUAGUUUUUUUUUGUCACCCAAUUAUAUAGCUUUUUACAUAAUAUAAUCGGGCUGAUGAUAUGUGUUAAAAUUUAAAUUUAAUUAAGAAAAAAUAAAAUAAAAAAUGGAAAACUAACUGAAUAAUUAUCAAGUAAGUAACCAAAUAAUAAAAAGGCGAACCUGAUGCCUAAUGUUGUUGUCUACACAUCUCUUCUAAACGGGUAUAUGAUCAAAUGGAUAGAAGAUCUGAAAUGUUUGCUAUAUUCAAUGAGGCUACUGCUGACAACAUAAUGUACAGUGUUAUCAUUAGUGCUUUCCUUAAAGAAGGGCUGACGACAAAAGCAUUUGUGCUUGUAAGCUAAGUAUUUCAAACAUGCCAGGGUCUACUCGCUGUUUUUUUCUAAAAUGGGAGGCAGCUGAGAAGGUUAUGGUUCGACUAAAAUACGUUCCUGAUUCUUCGAGUGUGAAUAAAUGAUCGUUGCAUUUCCUCAAACCAAAUCAUGGAAGCCGAUGCUGCUACAUAAAGAUUUAAGACGGAAAGCCAAAAGCCAAAAGCAGAUAAAUUUCUUUUUCUUUGUGGCUAACAAGGAGACUGCAUGCUGGUUUUUACUUUGGACCUGAAGAUUAUUGUAGAAAGUAAUCGUGUCAAAAGGUAACACUGAUCCUAAUCCUCUCACUUUAACUGGGUAUAACCACACGAAUCUACUCGGUCUCAAUCUUGUGAUGGAUAAUAUUAAGGAUAUGGUGGAAUGGUUCUUUUAUAUUUGCUCACACUCACAGUGAUGUAUUUUAUGGUGUCAAAGAUUGCAGUUAGUGGUAGUAACAAGCAUUUGAUAAAUGGGAAGCUUGCACAACCUAGUCAAGUCCAGAAUCUUUUCCACUCUGUGCAGCUUAAUAAUGUCAACAAUCCACACUUUCUCAUCAUGCAAGGUAGAAUCACCAAAGUCUUAAACAUGAAACCUCCCGAGAUACUGUGGGUGCUGGAACAAGAAUGUAUGAAAACAAGAAAGAAAGAAUGUUCAACAGUAGAGGAAGAAGAAGAAGAAGAUGAGACAUGGAGGAGCGAGAUAGUAACAAGGGUGAUGAGAAUCGUGAGCAAGAGAUUGAUCUUUUUUACUCUGCUACCUUGAUGGUCUUAAGGUUCGUGUUUCCUUUGGAAGUAGUCUUUAUCAGAUGACAGCAGAGGGCAAAGUAAGUGUUGCUUCUCUUCAAACCGGCGCCUCCUUUAUAUAUUACAUUCACCUCUGCUUUUUCAUUCUCAGAUUGAUUUGUCAAAAGUUCUCGGUAAUGUAUCUUUCGUAAAAAAACUGCCUGUUGAGGCUAGUUCUCACCCUGCAAUUAUUGAUCAGGAUAAGGAAAAUAUUUACAGGGAGAAACCAAAGCUGGGGACACAAGCUGACAAGCCAGCUGUUGGCCAUUUGGUGCUGUUAUUAGGAGACUCAAGCAAAGCUGCAGGGAAAAAAGCUGUGGUUAUGAGUGUUGAUAACGAGAAUGGUAAGGUGUCUGAGGCUGAGCCUGAUUCGUCAGACGCUGUUUCAAGUGAGGAAGGUGAGAUAUCUGAGGAUGACAUCUUAUCCGAGGAAGAGCACGAAUACUUGGAAGUAGUUUCAAAGAGAAAUCGGCGAAACUCCAGGGGCUAUGGCCCUAAAACCCAGUAAUGUCUAUGUAUAGAGACAUAUUUUGUUGGAAUGUCUGCGGAUUCAAUAAGCAAUCACACCGGAGCGGAUUUAAAAAAUGGUGUACACGGUAAUAGACCUAUUUUUGGUAGUCUCAUUGAGACACAAGUCAAGCAGGCAAAGAUUGGUAAGUUUGUUAACUCUCUUCUUCCUGGCUGGCAUUUUGAAGAAAACUACUCUUUUUCUGAAUUGGGCAAGAUCUGGAUCCUUUGGCACCCGAGUGUAAAGGUGGCUGUUAUUAGUAAAUCUCUUCAAAUGAUUACCUGCGAGGUCCAGUUUCCAGAAAAUCCUGUGAGUUUUGUUGUGUCUUUUGUCUAUGCGUCUAAUGUGGAAGCAUCGAGAAGGUCACUAUGGGGUGAAAUUGUUUGCCAAGCAUCGAGACAGAGUAUGUCUGGGAAAGCCUGGGCUGUUUUGAGGGACUUCAAUCAAAUCUUAGAACCGGCUGACCAUUCAACUCGUAUUGACAUGAAUAUUGAUAGAGCUAUGAGGGAGUUCAGUGAUUCUUUGUUGCAAGCUUCUCUCAUGGAUCUAGUUUACAGAGGCAGUUCUUUCACCUGGUGGAAUAAGAGAAGAGCCAGUCCUGUCGCAAAAAAGCUUGAUAGAAUCCUAGUAAAUGAUGAGUGGCAGGCACUAUUUCCGCUUUCAACGGGUUUUUUUGGAGCUCCAAUUUUCUCUGAUCAUUCUCCAGGUUCUAUUUCGUUAAAUCCAGCGGAUCCCAGACAGAAAAAAACCUUUUAAAUUCUUCAAUUUUCUGCUUAAAAACCAGAAUUUCCUUCCUCUUACCUGUGAAAGCUGGCAUUCUAUCAAUGUGGUCGGUUCUGAUAUGUACAGAGUUUCUGCAAAGCUCAGGGAUCUAAAGAAGAUCAUUAGGGAUUUCAGCAGAGAAAACUACUCAAAUCUUGAGAAAAGAGUUAAGGAGGCCCUUGAGGUUCUGUCAGCUUCGCAAGUAAGAAUGCUCUCUAGCCCUUCUAUUGUCAACGUAGGCCUUGAAAUUGAAGCUGCUGGGAAGUGGGAUACUCUUUCCAAGGCGGAAAAAAGCUUUUUCUAUCAGACUUCUAGCAUAACUUGGCUAGCAGAGGGGGAUCAAAACAGUUCUUAUUUUCAUCGUAUGGCAGCAACAAGGCAAUCAAUAAACCAUAUCCAUUUCCUUGAUGAUGACGCUGGUAACCGUAUUGCAUCGCAGCAUGGUAUUAAAUCUCAUUGCGUUGAGUUUUUUAUAGAUCUUUUGGGAGGUGAUAUACCGCAUAGUCUGUUUGUUCAGGAAGACAUUAAAGCCAUUCUCAACUUUGAGUGCUCCUAUGUUCAGAGAGUUAGUCUUGAUGCUAUGUUCACCAAGGAGGAGAUAAAGGAUGCUUUUUUCUCACUUCCUAGGAAUAAGUGUUCUGGGCCUGAUGGGUAUUCGGCGGAGUUCUUCAUCAGUUGUUGGAGCGUUGUGGGUGUCGAGGUCACUGCUGCUGUUUCUGAAUUCUUCUCCUCAGGAAAGCUGCUCAAAUAGUGGAACGCAACUUGCCUAGUGCUUAUUCCCAAAAUUCUGAAUGCAUCCAAGGUUUCUGAUUUCAGACCAAUCUCAUGCCUAAACACCAUCUACAAGGUUAUAUCUAAGCUCUUGGCUUUUAGGCUGAAAUCAAUCUUACCUUCGGUAAUAUCCCAUUCACAGUCAGCUUUCAUGCCUGGUAGACUUCUGUCCGAAAAUGUGCUGCUGGCUUCAGAAAUUGUUCAAGGCUAUAAUAGGAGGAACAUUGAACCAAGAGCAAUGCUAAAAAUUGACCUCAGGAAAGCUUUUGACACAGUAAGAUGGGAUUUCGUUUUAUCUACUCUGUCAGCUUUGGGUAUUCCAGAAAAGUUUAUCGGGUGGAUUAGAGAAUGUGUUUGCACCCCAUCCUUCUCCAUUUCAGUAAACGGUUCGUCAGAUGGGUUUUUCAAGAGCACAAAGGGGUUGAGGCAGGGUGAUCCCCUAUCCCCAUACCUCUUUGUUUUGGCAAUGGAGGUCUUCUCUAGACUGCUCCUCUCACGUUUUGAAUCAGGUUACAUCUCUUAUCACCCAAAGACAUCUGCUCUGGAUAUUUCACACUUAAUGUUUGCCGACGAUGUAAUGGUGUUUUUCGAUGGGAGCAGUUCAUCUCUGCAGGGUAUUUAUGAGGUUUUGGAUGACUUUGCUGGGUGGUCUGGGCUUACAAUGAAUAGAGAAAAGACCUUACUUUUCCAUGCAGGACUGUCACCAAGGGCUGAAUAUGAGAUUGCACACUAUGGCUUCCCCUCUGGCACUCUCCCAGUGCGCUAUUUAGGACUGCCUCUAAUGUCAAGGAAGCUUAGAAUAAACGAGUAUUCUCCUCUCUUGGAGAAGAUCACAAACAAGUUUAGGGGCUGGGCAACUAAAUCUCUCUCCUUUGCUGGUAGAACGCAACUACUAAAGUCUGUGAUCUAUGGCACUAUCAACUUUUGGGUUUCCUCUUUCAUGCUUCCAAAAGGAUGUAUCAGGAAAAUUGAAUCACUUUGUUCGAGGUUCCUUUGGUCCGGAAAUAUUGAUAAUCACAGCAGGGCCAAAAUUGCUUGGUCAAAUGUUUGCUUACCAAAAAGCGAAGGUGGCUUGGGAAUAUGCAGACUCUCUGUUUGGAACACUACCUUGUGCCUCAGGCUCAUCUGGCUACUCUUCUCAAACAGCGGUUCCUUAUGGGUCGCCUGGCAACAUCACCACCAUGAGUUAGCAUCUGUUAGUUUCUGGGAUGUUAAGGCAAAAGCAUCUGAUUCCUGGUUAUGGACAAGCCUCCUAAAGCUGAGACACUUGGCAAAACGUUUUAUCAAAUGCAGCAUUGGCAAUGGCACAAAAACAUGGUUCUGGCAUGAAAAUUGGACUCCUUUUGGUCCUCUGUUGGACUAUCUGGGUGAAAAUGGUCCCAUGAACCUGAGAAUACCGCGAAAUGCAAGAGUCUCCGACGCUUGUAAUAUUGAAGGGUGGCGUCUUGCUUCUCCAAGAUCUGAUCAGGCUCUUAGCUUGCAAAUAUACUUGUCAACUAUCCACUUACCAAGCGAUUCACAGGUGAAUGAUCAAUUUGAUUGGUAUGUUGAUGAUAAGCUAUGUCAGGGUUUUUCUUCUAGCAAAACUUGGGAGAUUCUUCGACCUAGAAAGGCAGAGAAAGACUGGGCUGCUUUGGUUUGGUUUAAAGGCUCUACACCAAAGCAGACUUUCCACAUGUGGGUAACAAACCUAAAUAGGCUGCCCACCAGAUCAAGGCUGGCUUCGUGGGGACUGCAAAUCUCCACAGAUUGUUGUCUCUGCGUUGGGUCAGUGGAAACAAGAGACCACCUCUUUCUUCACUGCCCUUUUGCACAGGUUCUCUGGGACUCAGGUUUUGCAAAGCUAAGGCUUCCACCAAUGGUUUUUGCAGACUGGUCCGGGUUAAUGGCAUGCGCAAAAGGGGGAACAAAUGCGACGCCAAAUACGCUUCGGUUACUACUAAUUCAGGCGAUUGUCUACGCUAUAUGGCGACAGAGAAACAAUCUCAUCUACAACCAAAUUGCAAUCCCGCCGCUAAAUAUCUUCAAGGAAAUUGACCGGCUCAUCAUCAAUUCUAUUACAGCCAGGAGAAAGAUAAAGAAUUUCAGGAAGCUCAUGGCCUUAUGGCUCAACUAAGGAUCGGUUUCUUUCCUUAAUUGUUAUUGUGUACUCUUUAAUGUAUCCUUAUUUUUUAACUUUUUUGGCAAGGUUCAUGCUUCUAGGUCUUAUAUAUUGUAAGACCAAAACUUUCAUCUAUUGAUAUUUACUCUCUUAGCAAAAAAAAAAAAAAAAAACUGAUCCGUGUUACAAUCAAUGAUUUUGAAUUAUUCAGGUUGAUGCAGCUCUUGAUCCAAGUCACACACACAACAUAGGAAGAAGCUCAUUUCCCUCACUCGCAGGUCAAAAUAUCACACACACAACUAUUCAUCUAUGUGUGGCAAGCUUAAUAUUUUUGACCAUACAUAUAGAUAUAUUUUUUCAUAAAAAAAAAGGUCUAAAUAGAAGUAAAAAGAGUCUAAAAUAACACCAAUCUAUUUUUUUUUUGGUGCAAAAAAUAACACCAAUAAUCUAUGGCUAAUCCUUAGAUAAUGGUAAUAUGCUUGAACUUGGAUUGGAUUUACUAAGUGCUUCCUCGAUAUCCUCAUGAUAGUCCGGACAGUGGUUGCAUGUGCAUAUGCAGUUCUUGGCUUCCGACGAAGAUCUAUGUUCCUCAAUUAAACCUAGUUUAAAAAUUAGGUAUAGAAGAGCCAAUAGGAUUAAGUAGAAUAUACCGCCGAUCACAAAAAGAGCAACCUCCAGCAAUCCCCACGCCAUUGAAGGAAAUUAUUUAAUGGGAAAAUAAAGAAACGUAAAAUCUUCCAUUAGGCUGUGUAUUAUAUAUAUAUAUACUCGAGGAUUCAUUGGGUCAGAGAUUAUUUAGGAUCAGGAUACCUAUGAAUAUUCCACAAGAGUCUUGGAUUAUAUUUAUAUAUAUAAAUUCGUCAUUUAUCUUUAUAAAAUAAAGUAAAAGUUUUUUUUCUCCUAAGGAUAACACAACAAAGAUAUAUACGGUAUUUUCACAUAUGUCACAAGAUAGAUUUUGUAUCCUCUUUCGUGUUUCGAUAUAUCUUCAUAACACAAUACUAAAAAAGAUUUGCAUAUUGAUGGGAUGAACUUAAAGGAUUCUCGGAGAUCGUUAUGCGUAUCGGCUUGGAGAAUCGAAGCAAGGGUGCUCGAAUGAUAUAAGAUUUAUCGAUCAAAGACAAGUCAUACGUUGUGACUAGAUGAUGAAGAAAUAUAGCCAUCCCAAGCCUAGCAAACUCUGCUCCUGCACAUAGUCUUGCACCACCACCAAACGCCAUGAACGUUUUAGAGCCACAAAGCAAUUCCUUCCCCUCCCAUCUCCAUGGAUUAAACUCACAUGGUUGUUCAUAGAUUUGAGGGUCAUAAUGAAGAAGAGAUGGAACAACCAAUACAAUCCAUCCUGCUGGAAUUGUAUACCCUGCAACCACAAGACGAUUUUCAUUGGUAACAAACUUAUAGUUAUUUUCAUGACGCAAAAGAGAGACUCAAACUUGCCUUUGAUCUCCACAUCACUCACCACCUUUCUAAACAUAGCAGGUGACAAACUCCCUAAACGAAGAGACUCAUUGAUAACCUGCAAUUGCAACAAUCAACUAAAUGUUUUCAUCACUUAAUCGAUGUGCAACGAGUUUGGAAUUUCAUUUUUUUAACAAGUAUAUAAUAAGAAAACAAAAAGCUACCAUAUGGGUGAAAUUCAUCAUGGAUCUAUAUUCUUUCCAAGUAACUCCAGAUUCUUUAUCAGCUCUGUUUUGGAGGAUGAUCUAUAGUCAUGUUCGAGUAAGACAUUUAGGACAAUUUACUAAUAUCUAAAGUUUAACUCACAUAAUAGUAAUUAAUAAUUUAGUUUCGAAAAAAAAUUUACAUGAUUUAAGAGUAUUUAGAUAGAAUUGAUAAAUUGAGAUGAGAGUUAGAACAUUAAUACAGAAAAAAUUUGUGGAUUUUUAUUUAAAAUUUAAAUAUCAGGAAAAAAAUUUAAACAAUAAGAUGGAAUAUGUAGAAUUAAAAUUAUUAGCUCUUAUCCGUUAAGAUGGAGUUUAUCGAAGAAUUAAAAUAUUUCUUAUCAUGAAAUAAAUAGUUAAAUUGUAUUGCAAAAUAGAAUGUGUCAGAUUGAAAUUUGGUUAAAAAAUUAGAUUAAGUAUAAAUAAAUGUAUAAUACUAUUUGUAUUUCAAAUAUUAUCAAAAAAUUAUAUUUAUUUUUUCACAUCCGCCUAUUUAGGCGGGUCUUAUCUAGUUCAAUAUACAUGGAACUGGCAGGAAUAGGUUGCCACAAGUUUGGCGAGAAUUGAGUUGGAGGCUCAUAAGAGUAAAUGGAAGCAAAUUUUGUACAAAUUUAUGGUAGUUUGUUUUAUAAAACACCAUAUUUUAUACAAAUAUUGUCCUUUUGAAUAAUAUUUAGAAUUGGAAGUUAGCUCUUAAUGAAAGAUCAGUGAAUAUGGGAGCUUGUUUGAUAGAUGAUUCGGGAUCACAUAUGGCAAUCUUAUGUGGCUUUAGCCUUUAGGUCUCCAAAAAGUGUAGCGGUUCACAAUGCUCAAGAGGUUGCAAGGAUUGUGGUAAGUUUAAAUUAGUUAUCAUCAGCAAAUGCUCACAUGAUAAAAGAAAUAGUCUGAUUUAUGUUGACUUACUUACUAUGCUAUGCAUCUAGGUCAGACCAGUGGCUUGGCUUUCCUUGAUAUUAUAUCCUGUUGGAAGAGUAGUGACAUAUCUUUCGAUGGGAAUUCUGAAAAUUCUUUGUUUGAAAGGACGGAGGUAUGUAUCAAAUAAGAGUUGUCUGUCCAAAUCAAAAUAUAUUAGUGUGCUUUUUUCCUUGUUGAAAGAGAGUUAGGGCAACUUACCUAUAGUCUAUUUUUCUUUUUGUGCCAGUGAGCCAUAUGUUACUGAAGAUGAAUUGAAACUAAUGCUACGCGGAGCAGAAUUAAGUGGGGCUAUAGAAGAGGAAGAGCAGGUAUGAGUUUGUUAUAUAUGGAUUUUGGAUGAGUCUUUGGACUCUUUACCAUAGACUUGUGAUAAUUCAAAUGAUACAUGUUGCAGGAUAUGAUUGAAAAUGUGUUAGAGAUAAAGGAUACGCAUGUUCGAGAGGUGAUGACUCCUCUUGUUGAUGUAGUUGCAAUAGAUGGCAGCGGCAGCCUGGUUGAUUUCCAUAACUUUUGGGUGACCCACCAGUACUCGAGGUCUAUAAAUUGUCACUGCUUUAGUGAACCUUUUUCGUCCCUUAGGAUUAUUCAUUAUGCUCAAAAAAUUUCUUCACAGGGUGCCUGUUUUUGAGCAGAGGAUUGAUAACAUAGUUGGUAUUGCAUAUGCUAUGGAUCUGCUAGAUUAUGUUCCAAAGGUCUGGCUGCCUCAUUCUCUGUUUCUUGUAUUUGUUUUCUUUUCACUGAUGGCGUUCGAGGAGACCAUAGUUGUGCACUUAUGUAGAAUGAAUUUUAUAUGUUUUCUUCUGUUUUGUAGGGUAACUUGCUUGAAAGUACUACUGUGGUGGACAUGGCACAUAAACCUGCAUUCUUUGUCCCUGGUAAUCAUCGAUGCAUUCAAUCUUUUAAUUUAAUACCUAAACCUUUGACAUUUUUUGUUCACAUGGAAUAAACUUUGAUGCUCUGUCAAAUAAUUUGCAGAUUCAAUGUCAGUUUGGAAUGUUCUUAGAGAGUUUAGAAUAAGAAAGGUUCACAUGGCAGUUGUUCUUAAUGAAUACGGUGGAACCAUUGGAGUAUGUUGCUGGUUGUCCUCUUCUUAACUUUAUUUUUUCUCUCCUGCUCUCUUGAAAGGUUGUCUAAUUUCUCUCCAUGCAGAUAAUAACUCUUGAAGAUGUGGUCGAACAGAUUGUUGGUGAAAUAUUUGAUGAAAACGAUUCAAAGGUAAGUUCAUCCUAGUGUUUCAGCUUGUUGCUAUUCUUCAAGGUUGGGUUGAAUAGGAGGAGAUUCAGAACAAAACGGGUUAUAUAUGAGAGCGGAGUAGAUUUAAAUUUCUCACUGCCAUUGUUUUGGGCUCAAUAGGAGGAGAUUCAGAAGAAAACGGGUUACAUCGUGAUGAGAGCAGAAGGGAUAUAUGAUGUUGAUGCCAACACUUCGAUUGACCAGUUAUCUGAAGAACUUAACAUAAAGAUGUUAGAGGUAAUAUACUCUGUUGCUGUGUCUUUAGUGUGUCCCUCUAGAAAGCAGAACCGAUCUUUAAGAUUACUUGUUGGCAGAGUAUAAACUAUCCUUGUUCCCCUUUUUGCAAGGCCAUCAGUAUGAGACAGUCUCAGGUUUUGUCUGUGAGGCCUUUGGGUAUAUCCCAAAGACAUGUGAGAGUGUGACGGUAGUUCUUGAAAAGGAAAACUGGGAAGAGAAUGAUGAACAAGAUGAGGGUAAACACGAGAGUCAAGAUCAGAAGGAAAAGCACCAAGUUUAUAGACUAGAGGUACAUCGACUCAUAGUACUACUUCCCCUUGCACCACAUUCUGCAAAAUGCAUAAUUUAUUCUCUAACUACAUUUGUUGAUAGAUACUAGCAGGGAAUGCCAGAAAAGUGAGUACAGUCCGGUUCGAACGAGUUAAUAAUAUGGAUGAAGUGUCAGAGGCGCGAGAUGUAAAAAACAUGGUUCCCAAGUUCGUAAGAAAAUGGAGCAGUGAGGAAGAUACCGAUGGUAAUCUCCAAGCCAAGAAUGCCGUCUUUGAUGAGCAUCUAAUUGCUGAAACUGAAAGUAUGAAGAAAGAAUAAUGAUAAAAGAGGAGGAGACAGAGGAUGAAAUAAAGGAUGAACAAUACUGUUGUAAGUUUUUUAACUGAAAGAGGAUUAGUUGCUUCUUACAUUCAUCUCUUGUUUACCAAUAGUGAGAUAUAUCUUCAUAACACAAUACAAAAAAGAUUUGCAUAUUGAUGGGAUGAACUUAAAGGAUUCUCGGAGAUCGUUAUGCGUAUCGGCUUGGAGAAUUGAAGCAAGGGUGCUCGAAUGAUAUAAGAUUUAUCGAUCAAAGACAAGUCAUACGUUGUGACUAGAUGAUGAAGAAAUAUAGCCAUCUGAAGCCUAGCAAACUCUGCUCCUGCAAAUAGUCUUGCACCACCACCAAACGCCAUGAACGUUUUAGAGCCACAAAGCAAUUCCUUACCCUCCCAUCUCCAUGGAUUAAACUCACAUGGUUGUUCAUAGAUUUGAGGGUCAUAAUGAAGAAGAAAAUGGAACAACCAAUACAAUCCAUCCUGCUGGAAUUGUAUACCCUGCAACCACAACACGAUUUUGAAUUGGAUCAUUGGUAACAAACUUAUAGUUAUUUUCAUGACGCAAAAGAGAGACUCAAACUUGCCUUUGAUCUCCACAUCACUCACCACCUUUCUAAACAUAGCAGGUGACAAACUCCCUAAACGAAGAGACUCAUUGAUAACCUGCAAUUGCAACAAUCAACUAAAUGUUUUCAUCACUUAAUCGAUGUGCAACGAGUUUGGAAUUUCAUUUUUUUAACAAGUAUAUAAUAAGAAAACAAAAAGCUACCAUAUGGGUGAAAUUCAUCAUGGAUCUAUAUUCUUUCCAAGUAACUCCAGAUUCUUUAUCAGCUCUGUUUUGGAGGAUGAUCUAUAGUCAUGUUCGAGUAAGACAUUUAGGACAAUUUACUAAUAUCUAAAGUUUAACUCACAUAAUAGUAAUUAAUAAUUUAGUUUAAAAAAAAAUUUACAUGAUUUAAGAGUAUUUAGAUAGAAUUGAUAAAUUGAGAUGAGAGUUAGAACAUUAAUACAGAAAAAAUUUGUGGAUUUUUAUUUAAAAUUUAAAUAUCAGGAAAAAAAUUUAAACAAUAAGAUGGAAUAUGUAGAAUUAAAAUUAUUAGCUCUUAUCCGUUAAGAUGGAGUUUAUCGAAGAAUUAAAAUAUUUCUUAUCAUGAAAUAAAUAGUUAAAUUGUAUUGCAAAAUAGAAUGUGUCAGAUUGAAAUUUGGUUAAAAAUUUAGAUUAAGUAUAAAUAAAUGUAUAAUACUAUUUGUAUUUCAAAUAUUAUCAAAAAAUUAUAUUUAUUUUUUCACAUUCGCCUAUUUAGGCGGGUCUUAUCUAGUUCAAUAUACAUGGAACUGGCAGGAAUAGGUUGCCACAAGUUUGGCGAGAAUUGAGUUGGAGGCUCAUAAGAGUAAAUGGAAGCAAAUUUUGUACAAAUUUAUGGUAGUUUGUUUUAUAAAACACCAUAUUUUAUACAAAUAUUAUCCUUUUGAAUAAUAUUUAGAAUUGGAAGUUAGCUCUUAAUGAAAGAUCAGUGAAUAUGAGAGCUUGUUUGAUAGAUGAUUCGGGAUCACAUAUGGCAAUCUUAUGUGGCUUUAGCCUUUAGGUCCCCAAAGUGGUUACAUAAUUUUUUGAAUCAAUUAUGAAUUUGCCAUUUUUUGAAUAAUCUUUGUUGAGUGUGCCAUUUUUUUGAAUAGUUUGUGGAUUUGCCAUUUUUCAAGCAACAAAAAAAUGAUUUAACAGUUAACAUUAGUAUUACUCUUUAUGUUUGGGUUUAGUCUAUUCUAUUUGUUUUUAGGGUUUAGUAUUUGGUAUAAAGUAUGUAUUUUGCACAAAAAAAGUAGUAAAUACAUAUAUUUGGUAUUUGGUAUAAAGUAUAGCAUUUUCGUAAGAUUUUCUAAAAAAAAUGUAUUUUUUCUACAAGAAUCCCUAAUUUCUUUUUUUUUUGGAAUGUAGGCAUGUAGCAUUACAUAAGGGGUUAGUUCUUGUUUAUACCACUGUAUUGUUGAACCCUUUGUCGUCCAAACAAGACACGCAUUGGUGAGAGCUUCACAUUUGCCGUUGUCGGUUGUUAUUGUUGGUUUGGGAAACAGAGACUUCACACAAAUCCAGGAGGUACACAUUUUUUUUUUUAGUUUUUCUUCUUUUUUUGGGUUUAUUUGAUCUCUCUUUCAGUGAAUUGGAAGUACACCAUCUUGGACUCGCUUAUUGCAUUAGUAUCUUUCUCUGCCGGCGGAUUGAUUCCGAUGCUCUGUGGCAUGCUUGUGAAACCUCGAAUUCUAAGGAUUGUGUUUCUGGUGAUUUCCUGUGAUUUUGUAAAAAUAACUACAAAACUAAAAAAAAAUUAUUUAUGAGUUAUAAUUUUUUUUGGUUAUUACAAAAAUCACCUUUUUAUUUAUGGGAAUUUGUGUGAAUAAUCCGAAAAAUAACUAAAAAUCUAACCAAUUAACCUAAAUCUAAUGGUCAUGAUUAUGCCACAUAUGCUAAUAUCAGUUAGUUGCUUAAUUAUUAUUACUAGAUUUACUCGUCCGCGCGUUGCGUGGGAUAUCAACUUUAAACUGGCAACAAUACAAAAUGUUAAAAAUAAUUAUAAUCAUUUGAAUUUCAAAACUAUACAUAUUCAUACUUGUUUUACAAAACAGUACACAACAUAAAAAUUAUCAAAAAUAUUUAGUAUAUACCACGUAAUAACAAAAGUAAUAUUAGAUGAAUUGGUCUCGGUAGUCAUCCAUGAACUUUUGUCAAAAAGAGAGUUUAUUCCAUAAUCAAAUCUUGUAAGUAUAUCUAUCUCGAAAUUUUAACAUAAUCAUACCCCAUAAUAAAAGUAAAUUUGCUGAGUUUGAAUAUCAAUUUCAUGAAAAUGUAUAAACGUAAUAUUCAUGCUGCUUCAAUAGAUUUGGAGAGCACAAUUUACCUAUUGAAGCAAGACAAUCAUGCAUUAAGAGAUUUUUUGAUAAAAUCAUGAAUGUCCUUAUCUUAUCUUAUCUAUCCUACAACACUUUAUUACAUGGUUCAAUGAUUUAACUCAAUGUUGAAUAUGAUAGUCUGGUUUACUAAAUCAAACUAUCCGAUAGUGCAUCAAUAUAUCCGAUGAAUUUACUUAAGUCAUGUGCAUACAUAUAUCCGAUGCUUCAAGCAUUAGUCAAUUCCUCUUCAAACAUUUUUUUCUAUCAUUUUUUCGUCAUCUUCUAUGAUGCACUUGUUUGCCUCCCAACAUCUACUCUUCUUUUAUCUUAUAUGCUCAUUUACAUAUAAUAAAACUUUGAAUUCAUUCUUAACUUAAAACUAUUUUCUCAUUUUCUUCUUCUUUUAAUUAUAUAAUUUUCAUGUUUGAGUGUAAUAUACUUUUACGGAAGAUAUAUAUUUAUGAAAAUUGUCUCAACACUUAUUUAAAUUUUUACCUAUAUUUAAAUAUUUUCACUUUUUUUUAUCUAGAAAGAAAACAAUAAUAUAAAUAUAACUAUAUUAUUUUAGUUGUUAUAUAUUUACUAUAAUUUAAUAUUAAGAUACAAUCAAUCUUUCUAUUUUUUCGUCAAUGUGAAUUUAUACUUUUACUUUCUUGAAAUAUAAUUUCCAAUUUUAAAAAUGAAUUAUUUCUUAUAUCUUAAGAAAACUUAUACAAUCAUAAGUUUACUAUAACAUUUAACCAUUUAUUUUUAAUCUAAAAAUAUACUAUUUUAAAUAGAUUUCUUCCACUUCAUUAUCAUCUCUUCAAGUUAAUGUUUCCAACAAAUAUGAAUAUCUUCUUAUUAUUAAAAAAAAACUCUUAUAGUCUUCCAUUUCAAUUCAAUUCAAUUCUUUUGUUCAUCCUAAAUUAUAUUUGAGGUCUCCUUAUUAAUCUCAAAAAAAAUGAUUGUUUUUAAACGUUUUUUAUUUUUUUAUUUUUAAUAAGUUAUUAUUUUUUGUAAUUGUAUAAUAAAUUUCAUUAAGAAUCAUUUUGCCCUCUUAAAUAACAUUGGUAUUUCUAUGAAAUUUGCAUUAUUAUUUUCUAAUUUCUUAAUUAUAUAUUUAGGGAUUAUGUUCAUUUUAAGUUAUAUAUUAGCAAAAAUUUAAUUUUAAGUGUUUUAUAUGUAUAUAUGUUACACUUGUGUUAUUAUUAUUCAAGUAACCUUUAUUUAAAAUUAUGCAUUAAUUGAAAAUUACUUGUAUAGUAAAUUUCAUUAAGAAUCAUUUUGCCCAUAUUAAAUAACAUUGGUAUUUCUAUGACUUUUCAUUAUUAUUUUUUAUUUGUUAAUUAUAUAUUUAGGGAUUAUGUUCAUUUUAAGUUAUAUAUUAGCAAAAAUUUAAUUUUAAGUGUUUUAUAUGUAUAUAUGUUACACUUGUGUUAUUAUUAUUCAAAUAACAAAUAACCUUUAUUUAAAAUUAUGCAUUAAUUGAAAAUUACUUCUUAGAUAAUUAGAUGUAAUUAACUAUAAAAUUAAAUAUUUUAAAAUAAUUAUUGGUGGGAUCCAUCAUAUUAAUUUGGUGAUGAUGUGGACACCCUAAGAGGAGAGAGAACUCUCCUAUUAUAUAUAUAAAUUUUCUUGGGUUAUUAUAAAAUAACCCUUUAUAUAUUACAUAAUAUAGUUUUUUUUUGUCACCCAAUUAUAUAGCUUUUUACAUAAUAUAAUCGGGCUGAUGAUAUGUGUUAAAAUUUAAAUUUAAUUAAGAAAAAAUAAAAUCAAAAAUGGAAAACUAACUGAAUAAUUAUCAAGUAAGUAACCAAAUAUAAAAAGGCGAACCUGAUGCCUAAUGUUGUUGUCUACACAUCUCUUCUAAACGGGUAUAUGAUCAAAUGGAUAGAAGAUCUGAAAUGUUUGCUAUAUGCUGCAGGAAUUGAAGCUGACAACAUAAUGUACAGUGUUAUCAUUAGUGCUUUCCUUAAAGAAGGGCUGACGACAAAAGCAUUUGUGCUUGUAAGCUAAGUAUUUCAAACAUGCCAGGGUCUACUCGCUGUUUUUUUCUAAAAUGGGAGGCAGCUGAGAAGGUUAUGGUUCGACUAAAAUACGUUCCUGAUUCUUCGAGUGUGAAUAAAUGAUCGUUGCAUUUCCUCAAACCAAAUCAUGGAAGCCGAUGCUGCUACAUAAAGAUUUAAGACGGAAAGCCAAAAGCCAAAAGCAGAUAAAUUUCUUUUUCUUUGUGGCUAACAAGGAGACUGCAUGCUGGUUUUUACUUUGGACCUGAAGAUUAUUGUAGAAAGUAAUCGUGUCAAAAGGUAACACUGAUCCUAAUCCUCUCACUUUAACUGGGUAUAACCACACGAAUCUACUCGGUCUCAAUCUUGUGAUGGAUAAUAUUAAGGCUAUGGUGGAAUGGUUCUUUUAUAUUUGCUCACACUCACAGUGAUGUAUUUUAUGGUGUCAAAGAUUGCAGUUAGUGGUAGUAACAAGCAUUUGAUAAAUGGGAAGCUUGCACAACCUAGUCAAGUCCAGAAUCUUUUCCACUCUGUGCAGCUUAAUAAUGUCAACAAUCCACACUUUCUCAUCAUGCAAGGUAGAAUCACCAAAGUCUUAAACAUGAAACCUCCCGAGAUACUGUGGGUGCUGGAACAAGAAUGUAUGAAAACAAGAAAGAAAGAAUGUUCAACAGUAGAGGAAGAAGAAGAAGAAGAUGAGACAUGGAGGAGCGAGAUAGUAACAAGGGUGAUGAGAAUCGUGAGCAAGAGAUUGAUCUUUUUUACUCUGCUACCUUGAUGGUCUUAAGGUUCGUGUUUCCUUUGGAAGUAGUCUUUAUCAGAUGACAGCAGAGGGCAAAGUAAGUGUUGCUUCUCUUCAAACCGGCGCCUCCUUUAUAUAUUACAUUCACCUCUGCUUUUUCAUUCUCAGAUUGAUUUGUCAAAAGUUGUCGGUAAUGUAUCUUUCGUAAAAAACUGAUCCGUGUUACAAUCAAUGAUUUUGAAUUAUUCAGGUUGAUGCAGCUCUUGAUCCAAGUCACACACACAACAUAGGAAGAAGCUCAUUUCCCUCACUCGCAGGUCAAAAUAUCACACACACAACUAUUCAUCUAUGUGUGGCAAGCUUAAUAUUUUUGACCAUACAUAUAGAUAUAUUUUUUCAUAAAAAAAAAGGUCUAAAUAGAAGUAAAAAGAGUCUAAAAUAACACCAAUCUAUUUUUUUUUUGGUGCAAAAAAUAACACCAAUAAUCUAUGGCUAAUCCUUAGAUAAUGGUAAUAUGCUUGAACUUGGAUUGGAUUUACUAAGUGCUUCCUCGAUAUCCUCAUGAUAGUCCGGACAGUGGUUGCAUGUGCAUAUGCAGUUCUUGGCUUCCGACGAAGAUCUAUGUUCCUCAAUUAAACCUAGUUUAAAAAUUAGGUAUAGAAGAGCCAAUAGGAUUAAGUAGAAUAUACCGCCGAUCACAAAAAGAGCAACCUCCAGCAAUCCCCACGCCAUUGAAGGAAAUUAUUUAAUGGGAAAAUAAAGAAACGUAAAAUCUUCCAUUAGGCUGUGUAUUAUAUAUAUAUAUACUCGAGGAUUCAUUGGGUCAGAGAUUAUUUAGGAUCAGGAUACCUAUGAAUAUUCCACAAGAGUCUUGGAUUAUAUUUAUAUAUAUAAAUUCGUCAUUUAUCUUUAUAAAAUAAAGUAAAAGUUUUUUUUCUCCUAAGGAUAACACAACAAAGAUAUAUACGGUAUUUUCACAUAUGUCACAAGAUAGAUUUUGUAUCCUCUUUCGUGUUUCGAUAUAUCUUCAUAACACAAUACUAAAAAAGAUUUGCAUAUUGAUGGGAUGAACUUAAAGGAUUCUCGGAGAUCGUUAUGCGUAUCGGCUUGGAGAAUCGAAGCAAGGGUGCUCGAAUGAUAUAAGAUUUAUCGAUCAAAGACAAGUCAUACGUUGUGACUAGAUGAUGAAGAAAUAUAGCCAUCCCAAGCCUAGCAAACUCUGCUCCUGCACAUAGUCUUGCACCACCACCAAACGCCAUGAACGUUUUAGAGCCACAAAGCAAUUCCUUCCCCUCCCAUCUCCAUGGAUUAAACUCACAUGGUUGUUCAUAGAUUUGAGGGUCAUAAUGAAGAAGAGAUGGAACAACCAAUACAAUCCAUCCUGCUGGAAUUGUAUACCCUGCAACCACAACACGAUUUUGAAUUAGAUCAUUGGUAACAAACUUAUAGUUAUUUACCAAAGUCUUAAACAUGAAACCUCCCGAGAUACUAUGGGUGCUGGAACAAGAAUGUAUGAAAACAAGAAAGAAAGAAUGUUCAACAGUAGAGGAAGAAGAAGAAGAAGAAGAGACAUGGAGGAGCGAGAUAGUAACAAGGGUGAUGAGAAUCGUGAGCAAGAGAUUGAUCUUUUUUACUCUGCUACCUUGAUGGUCUUGAGGUUCGUGUUUCCUUUGGAAGUAGUCUUUAUCAGAUGACAGCAGAGGGCAAAGUACGUGUUGCUUCUCUUCAAACCGGCGCCUCCUUUUUAUAUUACAUUCACCUCUGCUUUUUCAUUCUAUUAAGCAUAUAAUUGUAUAUAGUUAUUUAGUAUAU
rnacentral:lncRNA from 1 species